rnacentral:lncRNA from 1 species
GGUGGGAGCAUUGCUAUUUUACUGGUCUAUUUGGUCGGCCGUGUGUGACAAAAUGAAAGACUAUUUUUCUACUUAUAGGUAAUCUUCAGAGGGGCUUGAUCGAAGCACUGCGGCAGUGGAGAUCUUCGUAAAUGGGUGGGUCGCUAUUGAGUUUGAGUUUGUCUCAAAACCUUUUUUUAGCUAUUUGUGAGACUUUAAUCUGCCACAGUCUAGAUCUGUAAUAAUGAAUAGUU